rnacentral:rRNA from 1 species
GUGAAAGCCGGGCCGGCGGCUGGGGUAAUACGUAGGGUGCAAGCGUUAAUCGGAAUGACUGGGCGUAAAGCGAACGCAGGCGGUUGGAUAAGGUAGAUGUGAAAGCCCCGGGCUCAAACUGGGAAUUGCAGUUAAAACUGUCCAGCUAGAGUCUUGUAGAGGGGGGUAGAAUUCCAGGUGUAGCGGUGAAAUGCGUAGAGAUCUGGAGGAAUACCGGUGGCGAAGGCGGCCCCCUGGACAAAGACUGACGCUCAGGUGCGAAAGCGUGGGGAGCAAACAGGAUUAGAUACCCCGGUAGUC